UGGUCAAUACCGUUAACGUAAAUUUCGUCUAAUUAAUAUUUUGUGUCAUUUUCAUUUUUUUUUUUUUUUAGUAUAUCUAAUAACUAAGAUAUAUGCAGUACAGGAUCUCUUCGUGUACUUCUGUUUUUGUACUGCAAAAACUCUGCUAAGCUAAAUAUAUAUAUAAUGUAAGAACCGAGCAAAACCCCAUGCGAUGCUGCAUGAUGUGCAUGUCGUCGAACAACAAUACCCUUAGUUAAUCCCUUAUUCAUUGCUCUAAGCGACUUUCGAUCUCCGGCCAACAUCUUCCGAGUUCUUAAUUUCGUACGUAUGUAUAUAUAUGUUUUCCUGUGUAGAAUAGAAAGCCGGUGGGAGGAGUACUAAAUCAUUUGGUUACGUCGACGGAUCGGAGCUAGCGUUAAAGUCAACACGCACAAAAUGUAAGAUUGCCGGAAAAACAGGUCGAUCAUUCAAGCUGGUCAUCAUGACAAAAGCAUGUGAAUUAAUUACAGUACGUACCAUCCAAGCUGUCCAAUAUGGCCCACUGCUCUUUCUUCUACUUUUCCAUAUUUUCCUCUGCAACGUGGUCCGCGUCGACAGAUGGCUCAAAUAUUCUCCGAUUCUUUUAAUUAUCAUCAUCUCUUGUUAAAAGAUAAGUCAAAUCGCCAUAGCUGUCAAUGAAUAUCCCUCCGAAUUAGUAUAUCUGUAUUGAGAAAUACUAAAGCUACGUUUGUAUCGAAUGUGUA